rnacentral:rRNA from 1 species
GUCUGGGAAACUGCCUGAUGAGGGGGAGUAACUACUGGAAACGGUAGCUAAUACCGCAUAACGUCGCAAGACCAAAGAGGGGGACCUUCGGGCCUCUUGCCAUCAGAUGUGCCCAGAUGGGAUUAGCUAGUAGGUGGGGUAACGGCUCACCUAGGCGACGAUCCCUAGCUGGUCUGAGAGGAUGACCAGCCACACUGGAACUGAGACACGGUCCAGACUCCUACGGGAGGCAGCAUG